rnacentral:rRNA from 1 species
GCCCUAGUAACGGCGAGUGAAGCGGCAACAGCUCAAAUUUGAAAUCUGGCGCAAGCCCGAGUUGUAAUUUGUAGAGGAUGCUUCUGGGCAGCGGCCGGUCUAAGUUCCUUGGAACAGGACGUCACAGAGGGUGAGAAUCCCGUAUGUGAUCGGUUGGCACCCGCUACGUAGCUCCUUCGACGAGUCGAGUUGUUUGGGAAUGCAGCUCUAAAUGGGAGGUAAAUGCCUUCUAAAGCUAAAUACCGGCCAGAGACCGAUAGCGCACAAGUAGAGUGAUCGAAAGAUGAAAAGCACUUUGGAAAGAGAGUUAAAAAGCACGUGAAAUUGUUGAAAGGGAAGCGCAUGCAACCAGACUUGUCGGCGGUGUUCCGCCGGUCUUUUGACCGGUCUACUCGCCGUCGGCAGGCCAGCAUCAUCUGGGUGCGCCGGAUAAAGGCCUUGGGAAUGUAGCUCCUCGGAGUGUUAUAGCCCUUGGUGCGAUACGGUGCCGCCCGGGUGAGGUCCGCGCUUCGGUUAGGAUGCUGGCGUAAUGGUUGUCUGCGGCCCGUCUUGAAACACGGACCAAGGAGUCUAACAUCUAUGCGAGUGUUCGGGUGUCAAACCCCUACGCGCAAUGAAAGUGAACGGAGGUGGGAACUUCGGUGCACCAUCGACCGAUCCUGAUGUCCUCGGAUGGAUUUGAGUAUGAGCAUAGCUGUUGGGACCCGAAAGAUGGUGAACUAUGCCUGAAUAGGGUGAAGCCAGAGGAAACUCUGGUGGAGGCUCGCAGCGGUUCUGACGUGCAAAUCGAUCGUCAAA